UACAGAUUUUGUUCUAGACUGAUUUGGAAGGUGGGGUUGUUUUUUGGACUUAGCUACCUAAGGAAUGGAGUUUUUUGUAUAUGAUGACUUGGAGGCUGGCUGAUUGCAAAAAAAAUUUGUGGUUGAAUUGGUUGGGCUGCUGCUGGUUGCUGGCUGUUGGCUUGAUACUUCUUUGCUGCUUUCUGAUUUAUUUUUGUUUACUAGUUGCACACAUGACAACACAAGCACUGAAUGAAACACUAUUAGUCUUAGUAGACUAGACUGCCUCCAUUUUUUGUGAAAAAUAUGUAGUUGUGUAGUAUACCAGUGUAUAUUCAAGUCCAACAUUCAUUAUGUAUAUUUGUAUUGUGCUUCUCAAGCACUACUUGACUAUUUUGUAGUGCUGCACUACUACUCCUCCUUGGGGCUGUGCUACUGUUUAUAUUUGAUGUGAUUACUAUAAUAGAAAUAUUAAUGUUAAUGUUGUUGCCA